rnacentral:rRNA from 1 species
AUGGCAGAAGCCCUAGCUCUCAAAUUUGGCCUAAGUUUAGCGCAAAGGGCAAGAUGUAACCGCCUAAUCAUCAACUCAGACAAUCUGGAGGUGAUUGAGACCAUGCAAGACGGAGGACAGUCAGCGGGGACGGCAGCGGCGAUUUUCGAUGACUGCUAUCACUAUGCAUGUAAUUUUAUCAUGACUAGAUUCGAACAUUGUAAUAGAGAGGCAAAUAAAGUAGCACAUGAACUUGCUAGAUUAGCUAGAUUUUCUUCAACUUCCGAUUGGUUUGAGGAACCUCUUAGUGAAAUUGUAAUGAUCCUCACAAACGAUGUAGUGGUUAUUUCUAAUGAAUAA